AGUCGAGCGGAAACGAGUUAUCUGAACCUUCGGGGAACGAUAACGGCGUCGAGCGGCGGACGGGUGAGUAAUGCCUAGGAAAUUGCCCUGAUGUGGGGGAUAACCAUUGGAAACGAUGGCUAAUACCGCAUAAUGCCUACGGGCCAAAGAGGGGGACCUUCGGGCCUCUCGCGUCAGGAUAUGCCUAGGUGGGAUUAGCUAGUUGGUGAGGUAAUGGCUCACCAAGGCGACGAUCCCUAGCUGGUCUGAGAGGAUGAUCAGCCACACUGGAACUGAGACACGGUCCAGACUCCUACGGGAGGCAGCAGUGGGGAAUAUUGCACAAUGGGCGCAAGCCUGAUGCAGCCAUGCCGCGUGUGUGAAGAAGGCCUUCGGGUUGUAAAGCACUUUCAGUCGUGAGGAAGGUAGUGUAGUUAAUAGCUGCAUUAUUUGACGUUAGCGA
rnacentral:rRNA from 1 species